CUUUAGCAUGUCUGACACAUAAAAUCAAUAAGAGAAGUCUUUUCCAGGCAAGGUAUUUGCUGGCAAAAGUACUCUAAUGUCUGUGGAAUCCCUAAGGUUCCUACAGCCCGGGUUUGAUCACCUCUCAUCAAAAUGAACUUCCUUCUUUUGCAGCUGAGAAAACCGAGGCAGAAGGCCUAGACGUUUACCGAAGCCCCCAGCAAGUCAGCGGCAGAGCCCAGAUUGCCCAGGACGCCUGGAAAUCUGGCGAGGGGCUAAAACCGGCACAAGACCUUCCUUAGUCUGAAAAGGGACCCAGGCAGCCCGGAGGAUCCCCACCCCCGAGACUGACUACAGUCACAGAGAACCAGAGAGAAAAACACAAGUGACCCCACUGAGGCUGCAGAGGCAACGGGGGCUUCCGGGACAAACAAUGGCCCUCUGUGUCUGGUUUCUCCUGAGGCCCGGAAGCGCUGGUGCGUGGCACACCGAUGAGUCAUGCAGGAUAUCUCCCCGGCCUGCUUUGUUGUGCCCAAAAAUUGCUCCCCCGACCUGAAAGGGCAGAUGAUGUCAUCGGCUGCUCUGGGGAAGCCCUGUCACUGGACAGUCCCAGGAAUGUCGCCUCCCACUAACAGCUCCCAGUCCAGGUCCCCGGCCUUGAGAGAGUUCCCGGAGAUGGGGGGUGGGUGCUAGGCAGAGAGAGCCAGCUAGGAGGAAUAGACCCUCAUGGAGUCCAGGGAAACCCCUGCUUUGUUCCCUCUGGACGCAGUGCGUGUGUGCUGGCUGCCCAGCCUCAGCUGUGUCCUGUGGAGUUUCCUGGACUCACGAGAAGCCCCGGACAAGUGUAUUAGGGGCAUCCCAGGGAGGGCCGACCAAGACUGGCAGGAAGCCGAGGGAUGGAGCGGUCACCGAAACCUAGCUUGGACUGUGCGGCCUGGGAGGGAAUGAGGACGGACUUUCCACUUGGCUGGAUUUGACAGAGAUUUCAGAAACAAAAGUCACGUGAUACUGAGGCCAUUUCGAUUUUCGGAACUUGGACAUUGCUGCCAUUUUCAGUUGUUUAAAGUAUAUCCCACUGGAUGGUCCAGAGUGUGGCUCCAGAGUCACACAGCCACACACCCACUGACUGCAUGGCCUUGAGCAAGUUACUUUACCUCUCUGAACCUUGGUUUCGUCCUCUAUAAAAUGGGAUGGUGGUACUGCUCCUAAGGCUGUGUGGGCAUGCAGAAGUUUACUACGCCAGCUGCCUAGCCAUGGCCAGCCCUAGGUAAAUGAUGGUCUCCUCUCUUCCCUUCAUUCCCCUAGAGCUUGGAUGGGGCUCUUAGUUGGGCUUCUAUUCUGGCUCAUCUCCCGGAGACUCAUGGCCUGGACAUAUUCCUUGCACCGCCUACCUUUCCUCCGGAUGCAGGUGGUGAGUGAGGCCACCUGUCAGAUCCUCUGGUGAAAGAACCGCCCCAGUCAAUCAGAAGCCCAAGAAUGAUGUCAUCGCCACCUUCUGCUGGGGUUCCACAUCUGGCUGGUUACCAUGGCGAGCAAUUGCUCAGAGGACAGCCCAAAGAGAAACACUGUAAGGAUGGAAAGUCUAGGCCAGCAGGCCCAGGGGAGAGGCGUGGGAAUCCCAGGGCUCGGCCCCAGAAACCACUGAGACCCAGGCCCCUCCUACACACACUGCAUCUGUCCCACCCCUAGGGCAGCCCCGGAGCAGCUGAGGAGCCACAGAUAGCACGCCAGGACCUGGGCAAGAGAAGCCGUUCUCGAUGGGCGCCUCUCCACCUCUGCCCUGUGCUGCUGUCCUUAGAGCGCUGGCCCUGAUCCGCCUGCCUGUACCCUUGCCAGGGAUCCACAAGUCACCUAAGGGGAAAUGACACGGUGCUGAGUGUUCCCUGUCAGAGGCUGCCAGCCCAGUGGAUCAUCACGAGAAACUACACACGCAAGUCCGCAGUCACCCCUGGCCACAAAAACACCCGACUGUGAAGGGAGUUGAAGAGUCACACUGGAGAGGUUUGAAGACAGAGGCCACGUCGGGGCAGGCCCUGGAAACGUGUUUUCAGGGGGUUCUGCCAUGGCCGGCGUGUGGGUUACUGAGCCGUGUUACGCAGUCUCUGGAAGGCCUGGCCCCACGCAGUCCCAGUGCCAGGACUGUCGCUUGGACAGCGCGCUCCCUCGUGGUCCCCUUCUGCCCACGUGGAGCAGCAGUGGCUCUCAAGAGGCCAUCCAGCCCAGGGUUCAAAAGCCCCGUCAUUUCAGCUUCAGCAACAACCUCAGUCGGUCUGGACCCUGCUUGUGUCCGUCUCCUGCCCAUCUCCACCUCCCGGAGGACCCUCCAGCCACAGAGAAGCACCCUCGCACUUCCCAGAUGGGCCCUCCUUCCGCCCGCAGGUCUUUCUUCCCCAUCGCCCCCUCUGUCCACGUCAGGGCUGUGUUAAAGCCACUGACAUGUCACUGGAAAUGCACGGAGUUGGGAAAAUUGCAUGGACUAGAGCUUCUCUUGGGGAGAACACUGCAUGUGGUUCAAAGGAAGUCUUGGACAAGACACUCAGAGAGGAGUACUCAUCCCAGUGCUCAGCCCAAAGUGUGUCCCCUGGAGUGUUCGUGAUGGCCGCAGGGGCUCUUAACCUGAGUCAGCAGAGGACACCUCAUUACGCCCACACACGGCCUGAGGUGCACGUACUUAGGUGUGCAUGCAGACGAGAAAUGUGUGUGAUGAUUUCAAGCAUCUGACACCAGAUCCAUGCCCUCUCCUGCACCAGACGUGCUCCCCUUUCCGAUGUCCCUGUUCCUGUCCUGGCCCCAGCAGCCUCCUAGCCCCACUCAGCCCACUUGGAGUCUGUCUGCAAAUCCACUUGCACUUUGUCCUCUUCACCCGACUUGUGACUGCCAGCGCCCAAAUUUAGGUUCCAGUUCUGUCUACUCAGGACCCACCCUGCCAGCCAAGCCCGGGAACAGUCAGGUCGUCAGUCCCCAAGCCCAGCUUUCUUCAUGACACCAUUCUGCCUUCCAGACACAGCGGCAGGCCCACUCCUACCCACUGCCCGUCACUGAGGGCCCCUGUGAUGUGGCCCUGUCUGUUCAUCCAGCCUCCCUAAUACACACCCUCUGCUCCGAGCCUACUGGCCUCUUUGUGGCCCUGGCACGGUCCCUGCUCAAUCCCACGCCUGGGCCUCCAUUCCUGACUUUUCUCUACCUGCCGUGUUCUCUCCUCUGCCUCCUGCCCGGCCCACCAAAUCAGUGCCAUCUCCAAGGCCCGGCUCAGCUCCCAUGGACCCCAAGUUACCCUCUCUGGCCAGCACAGCCUCCAUGACUGUGCCCUCCUCUGCACCCUGUGGGCUUGAUUAUUCCACAAAGACAGAGUCUUUAAAGCCUCGGUCUACUUCAUAUAACUAGAGCGCCUACUGUGUGCAGGACACUCAUCUAACCGGGCCCCCAUAGCCAGACUAGCCAUGGCCAGGCUGAAUGUGGACUCUGGGCAUAAAAUCCUCUGGCAUCAGUGUUGCCACAGGGCUGGGGCCUGUGGGGCCACUUGUGUGACACAUGAGUCCAGGCCUGGCCUUCCUGCGGAGGGUCAGAUCUGGAGCUGGAGCUUCAGGCAAGGGGGCUGUCCAGAGACUGUAGACCCCAAACAAAUCAGUGCAGGGAAUUCCCAGGACCACCCGUUCUGGACAUCCUAAUGGGAAAAGACUCAUUAGUGGGAAUUCUGUCCUUGUCAUAUGUUUUCCACUGAACCAAAGGAUGUGACUGAGUAUCCUUUGGUUCUUAGAAAGCAACUGCUUCUACACAGAACAGAAACAGAAACUUCAGCCUGCAUUGUCGCUCUCGUGACAAGUUCUGCUUCCCAGAAGGCAGGAAAGGCCAAAGAAACAGUGUAGACUCUGUGUGAUGGGAUCAGUUUCCAUUUUUGUUGUGGAAUGAAAAAAAAUCCCCGAUUGCAGUGUGUGCCCUGGUCCCACACUGAGGGCACAAUUCAAGGCCUCUGUCUUCUGCAGAAUAUCUGGGGGCAGCAGUAACUGUCAGCUCCUGCUAUGUGCUGGCCACGUUUCAACACGAGGAGUAGGGAAUACUGCCCUACUUGAGAGGAGGUCAUAUGGCCAGGCAGUGGCAGAGCUGGGACACCUACCCAGCCCUGCCCUGCUGUCCAGAGCCUCUAAAAUGAAGCUCACGUCUCAGGGGGUUCCCAGGCCAGUGGGGAGACAAGACAGGGAAGCGUGGAAAGUGAGAUGCUGUGACUCCAGUGGCAGGAGAGUAUGUGCAGGGAAGACUUCUUGGAGGAGGUGAGGUUCUAGCUGUUUCUCUGAGGACAGGAGAAGAAGAAGAAUGGGUAGAGGGAAGAACAGGAGCAAAGACUGAGUGGAGAGAAGCAAGACCUGGAGGAAGAUGGGAUGGGAUAGAUUUCAGGGCCCUCCCAAGUAGCCUGGCAGGAACUUCUUGGUCAGCCCUUUUCGGAAACAAUUAUUUUCUAAUGAGUGGCCCCUCCUUGAGUGCGAGUAAGGGAGCCUAACAGCCACUCACACCUUAAUUACUCAGCUGCUCCCUGGGUGGGUGGGCCUGAGAGAGAGGGUGGCAAUGGCACGGAGGAUACAGAGGAGGCGUGGACCAGGGCCCUGUGUGGAAGAGCAGAGGAAUGCAGAGAUGUGUCUUGGCUUCUUCCACACUGCCCUGCUCCUCAGCUGGUGCUGUGCUGGGGCCUCCAGGGAUGCUGAAAGAGGGGCUCACUCCCUUUGGGGACCUAUAAGGUAGGAGCCGUGAGGCUCGUGGGGAGCCGGGGAGCUGGGCAGCUGGGGACUUUGAGUUGAGGCCAGAUAGCAUCCUGGAGUGUCAGAGCUGCAGGAGGAGGCAGUGGGCCCCUCUUGGCCUUUCCUGACUUUGAGUCAGCUGAUGGCUUCAAAUAAGCCCAGGAGGCUUUGGACUAGAGCUUCUGGGCUGCGGGGUUGACACUGUAGUGUCCAUGUGCUUCCUGCCCCCACACGGCCUCUCUGGGCUGCAGGACUGAGCCAGGUAAACAUCUCGCCAGGCCCCUCACCCUUGGAAUGCGGCCUCAGCUCAGCAAAUGCAUCCCCUGGGAGUAUGAAUAGCAGAACCAGCCCCCAGAAUCCAUUGUUCUUGAAGUUCCAGGGAAACCAAAACAAAUUCCCAACAAUACAGGAGUGAGGACGGAGCGGAGUGUGGAAAGGGCAGAAAGGGCCGGUGGGGCCUUUGUCCUUAGGCAUCCAGACAUUUAUAUUUUCCACAUUAUUGAGUGGGAAAUGGCUCCUUUUAUGCCAACAAUAACAACCACCAUCCCCUCCAUGUUCUCAUUUAAUCCUGGAGAAAACCCAAGCAAGGCCAACAUUAGCAUCCUGUUAUAAAGAUGAGGGGACUGAGGUUCCCAGAGGCCCCGUGACCUCCCCAGGGUGCCAGAGUUAGUAAAUGCUAGAGCUGGGACUCGAACCCAGUGUCUCAGCUUCUUUCCAGUCCAGCUCAGUGGAGCCAGCUGCCCCCAUCCCAGGAUAGGAUUGGACUGCAGGGUCUUGCCUGCUUCCCUUGAGCUUCCCAACGUGGAAUCAGCCGGAUAAGGAAGCAGAUUCUUUUGUGAGGUGGCCAGGAGGCCAGGCUUGCCCAGUACUGCCUGUCCCUGAAUGCUGCCGUGUGAAGGCCUGGUGCCAACUGUGCAGGGCUGGCCAGGCCAUCAUCCUCCCACCAGCCCAGGCUGACUGUGUUCUCUGUCUAUAGCCACACCUUUUCCCAUAACUUCCCACUGAUGUCCGUGUGCUUGGGGGCCUGGGAACGAGGUCUCCCAGAAGCCCUCUCCAAGGCCAGCUCAGCCCUCUCACCAAGCCUGGGGCCUUUGCAAUAGUAGGAAGAAAGUAGCAACAGGUAAACCACUUAGAGAUAAUUAGCAAUUGGUUGUAUCUCCUCCAACACCAAAAGAUUUUUGUGGGCUAAUAUUUUUAGCAGAAAAAGAAAAAUUGCUAAACUCAUAAAUCGUGAUUUUGUGUACUCAUCUAUUUCCAAGAUUCACUGUGAGAUCACUCAGAGCUUGUUCUUUGAUUAUGGCCAUUUAGCAAAUGGAAUUCCAACAGGCUUGCUGGAGUCUCGCAUGCCUUGCAGUUUGCACCAAGAAGCUGUGCGUGACAGCACUUCCAUCUGGCAGAUGGCCUCACUGGAAUGCACUCAGAAGUCUCGAGAACGGAGGCAUAAACAGAAGCAAAAUUAAUCAGUGCAAUUGUUUUCUCUGCCAUGAACAUGACAUGUCUCUGGAUUUUUGAGGGCAGCAUGCACGGGAAGGACCCGGCUUUGCAUUCUCCACGGCUUUCAAAACCAUGUCAGGUGUCCAACAUGCUUUGAUAGCUGACAUUGGUCUUCCUGCUCACUCUCUGUCUCCUCAAAAACCCUGUCUCGGGCCAGGCCGACAUGCAGCGAGCAGAGCCCUGGGCGCCCAUAGAGGCAGCAGUGCUGAGACCCCCCCACCCUGAGGAGCCAGACAUUACUGGCUCUGACUGAAG
rnacentral:lncRNA from 1 species